rnacentral:rRNA from 1 species
GUGAGGGAUAUUGGUCAAUGGGCGCAAGCCUGAACCAGCGACGCCGCGUGGGUGAAGAAGGUCUUCGGAUCGUAAAACCCUUUUCUGCGUGAAGAGGAAGGACGGUAGCGCAGGAAGAAGUCUCGGCUAACUACGUGCCAGCAGCCGCGGUAAAACGUAGGAGACAAGCGUUAUCCGGAGUUACUGGGCGUAAAGGGCGUGUAGGCGGUGAGCUAAGUCUGUUGUGAAAGCGCCCGGCUAAACCGGGCGAGGUCAAUGGAGACUGGCUGGCUAGAGGACGGUAGAGGCGAGUGGAAUUCCGGGUGUAGUGGUGAAAUGCGUAGAUAUCCGGAGGAACACCAGUGGCGAAGGCGACUCGCUGGGCCGUACCUGACGCUGAGACGCGACAGCAUGGGGAGCGAACGGGAUUAGAAACCCUAGUAGUCC